UUUGUCACGUUUGCUAUGUUAUGUUGCAGACUGCUCUAAGGAAAUAAAAGAGAGGGUUCGUGAGGAUGUGGGCAGAAUGGGCUGGAGAUUGUGAGAGAGACACAUCUUGUGUUCUCCUUGCAAGUAGAGGUUCCUUUUGUUUUCCUUCCUCGAAAAUCAUAUUUUAAAUAUCCUGGGUUGCAUGAGUCUGGCUCUCACCACACGGUAUCCCUGAUUCCGUCACUGACUGCCGUAGGCUGCGUGAACCUGACCAGGGCUCAACAUUAACUCACACACCUCUUGGAGGGUACUGCUCCGAUUCCUGAGUUCGAUGCAUCCACUUCAACCACACACUGUCUCUCCGGAUCCGUUGAGGUAGACGAACACAUUCUUGUUCAGUCUCUCCCGUAGCACGUCAUUAGUAAAAUUCUGAACAACCACAGGCACAUUAGUCAGGCCAAACGGCAUCACCAGGUACUCGUAGUGGCCUGUUGGUGUAUAAAAGGCAGUCGUCCACUCAUCCCCCUCUCUGAUGCGUACCAAAUGGUACGCAUGCCGUAGAUCCAACUUGGUGAAGUUCGGGGCCCCUUGUAGCAACUCAAAUGUGGUGGCGAUUAGGGGAAGAGGGUACCUGUUCCUGGUGGUGAUGUUGUUAGGUCCCUGAUAAUCUUGACGAAGAAAAAUCCCACUCCAGCAGGCGACGAUGAUGGUCAGAUGAGACCCGCCACCAGCGACUCCUCCAUGUACUUUUUCAUAGCUUGGUGGUCCGGUCCCGUCAACGAAAAGAGCCUCCCUCGAGGGGGUGAGGUUCCGGGCAAAAACUCGAUAGCAAAAUCGUACGGGCGAUGCGGCAGAGGGACGUGGCCUUUGCCUCCGAAAAUACUUCUUUAAGAUCCCAAUAACAAGACGGAACUGCUACUUGAAUUCAGGGAGGUAGCCAAUUCCACCGCAAUGAGGUGACUGCGGAUUUGCAGUGAAAGUCCUUGGAAAAAGGCGUCGAGAAGCGCCUCUUCGUUCUGUCGACUCUGAGCUGCUCUGAUGCGAAACUCGAUUGCAUAAUCUGCCACACGACGCUUCCCCUGUCGAAGUGUGAUCAACGUAGCCGCUGCCUCGUGUCCCGGCAAUGCGUACUGGAAGACUUGCAUCAUGGCACAUAUGAAGGAGGUCCAGGAGCGGCAUGUUUCAGAGUUUUUGGAAAAGUGUUCGGGCCGGUAGAGAGGAGUGUACCCAAACCGCUGAAACUCCGCGACUGGUGAGGUGGCAGGAGCGACCUGGACUGGGGUAGAAGCUGUGGCGGGUGCCGUCGAAACGACAUUAGCGGCGCUAGCCUGAGAUGCUAGCCAUGGCUCUAAUCUGGCACAGAACUCGGGAAGUCUUUGGUUGGUAACCUGACAAGCAGUCGUUAAGCUUACUGGGUUGGUCGGAGCGCAGGCAGAGGUCGAUACACCGGGAUUCAGGAUCAGAAAGAAUGAAAUGCUGGAACAAGCCAUGGAAGGCAACGAUCUGGCAAAGCUGGAUCCUAUAAGUAGUAGGGUUCAUUCUCACCAAUGAAGCACAGGUGUGCACCUCCUAAUUAACACAGGUGUGUAGGGGAACUGCACAGCCAAGGCUGGGAUUGGCAGGACCAUGACACAAAACUGCAAAACAUAUUUAUUUAAGUAUUUUGAGGAUUCUUUAUGUGUAAAUGUACGUUUGUGUGCCUUGCAUAACCGCAUGAGCCAAUAUUGCACAACACAACAUACUUAAAUGAAUAUUUUCUGCUUUCUGAGCUCACGUUGAUGAUCACUAAACACCAUACGAAUGAAAAUGCACACAUGGGCUAUGUCACUCACGUCAGUGGAUUUGUCCAACUGCAAUGAGAAACACUCACAAUCACCGAUGUCCUUUCACACAUCAGCCAUGGCUUCACAGCACCGUGAAACUGUACUCCUUGAUAGCUGCAGAGAUUUUAUUGAAGAUAAUAUUUCCACCUUAUUUUUAAAAGAUCAGAACAAUGAGUCGGCUAUACUUCUUUUACCAUCUCUCCAUCUUGGAAGGACUUCUUGUUAUUAACAGUGUUGUGACGAAUUUGGAACGAUGCUUCUGUGACUGCUGUGCGGCCAGUUGGGAUUUUACUUCGUUCACUUUUCUCAUUCCCAGCUUGCUUUUCGGUGGAAUGUCGGUGUCGUAUUUUCCAUAAACAAUUUGAAAAUGCUGCUACACAUUUUACUUUACUGGCAGGUGAGGGAAACGUGCUUCAAAAAUGACAUAGUGAAAAAAAAAGUCCGCCUCCCUCUCCAAGUGAAAGAUCCUUUUUUGUCUUCUUCUUUGCUCCAGCAUCCAUACUCAUGUUUGAUAAUAUUUCUUUACUUUAAGAAAAAAACGAGGGCUUAAAAUAGGGGGGAUCUCGUUGACUAGCGUAAAUAUGGCUGACGUCUUUUUUUUUUUGGCACACUGUCGUGAUCGACCAGAAUUGCCCAGUCAAUCGCGAUCGACACAUUGAGUACCCCUGAUCUAGCCUAUAUUCUACUAUAACUAAUACUAAUCCUUCCUCGACCAAAGCACAAGGCGGCCAUUACGCCGGAGGAGAAGGUAGCUCAUUGGUAUGUUCAUUCGAGCUCCAGCGAAGCAGAAACUUGGAUGUUAGGUUGUUGUUGUCAGGUUGUUUCAUCCGAUGUUGGCCGUGAAUUAUAAAAAUUAUCGACUCGGACACAUUUUUUUAAUAAAUGCAAAAUUAUGAUAUUUCUGUGAAAAUUUCCACUUGCCCGGUUGGGCAAUCAUGCCGUAUAUUUACUUGCCCGAAGAUGCUUUUCGGGCAAAUUGGGCAAAGUCCAAGUGUCAUCCCUAUAAACAUUCAAAAAUAGAUAUUGUAAUGAAAAAUACAUAUAACAUUAUUCACUUCAAUGUCUAUACGAAAAAAGAAAUAUGAGCGGAGAGCGCAUCAUCCAUGCACAAAGUGGCAGAAGCUCUUCCUUUAAAAUAACCCCUACUCCAUUUCUCUACCCAUUUCCGUUUUACGACGGAUGCACGUCCUGACACAACCCUCUGCAUUCAUCUGGGAUUGGGACCGGCCGACAGAUUGCACUGGGUUGUCCCCCCAUAGGGCUGCAUUUGUAUCACUAAUGCGUGUAAUCUGGGGAAAUUAAGAGAUGCAGAAGGAGACACGGGAGGUACCGAGCCCCUGAGUGGCCAUUAGAAAGUAAAAACCCCAAUGAAACAUUUGUUAAUUCAUGGCCACGAAAUACUAAAACAUGGGAAUUAUUACAUUAUUUUGUAAGCACGAUUUAGCAACUGUAUUGUAUUUUUUUCCUUGAAUGGUCACUCAGAGGCUGUAAGGCUGCAUGUGUGCUUCCAUGAGUGACAGCGUGUGGGUUGAGUAGGUCUGUGGCGUUACUCCAUCCACACCAUGCACCUGUUACACAACAAAUGGAGCCCGUUAUUUAAGGGAAUUAAUUUUACUUCGUUGGCGCUAAAAACAUCUACUGGCAGAUGGAUGCGCUGUGUCAUGACCCUGUCCUGGCCGUACUGGUCCCCGAGGUGGCAUGCACCUACCACACUCGGUGGAGGCGCACACCUGUGCCUCGUCUCCAGUAAUUAUGUCCCAGUUAUAUAGAACCACAAGUAAGGUCUGGCCUUUGCCAGAUCGUUGCGUAAUGCCUCGUUCCCGCACUCUCGUAAUCCCGUUCCAGAUCUCCUGUGUACCGAGUCCUGCCUGCCCAUUGACCUGCCUCCUACGCCUGACGUUCUUGUUACUGCUGCUCCCGUUGACUGCCUGCCUGAUCCCCGACACUGGACCGAAAAAACACUUUUCCCGGACUGCCUCUGCGUCUCCCGAGUCGUGCAUUCGGGUCCAACCCCGUGUUCUGGUCGUGACAGAAUGAUCUGGCCCAAAACAUGGACCCUGCCGACUCAGCUGCGUUCCCCCAGUCCCUGCAGCUCCAGGGCAGACGUAUCGCCAAGCAGGAAGCCACUCUCCAGGCAAUUAAUCACCAGUUACGGGAGAUGUGUGUUCGGCUGGACGCAUGCUUUGUGUCCAUGUCCAGCCCAGCCGACGCCAGUCCGCCGACAGGCGCCGCCACUCCGCGCCCAAGUCUGUCCGCACCCGCUCCCCUGCCAGUCGCAGAAGUCCAGCAGACUGUGUGUACGCCACUCUCCCGACCCGAGCGGUUCUCCGGAGAGACGGGUAACAUUAAACCCUUCCUCGCCCAAUAUGAUCUCCAUUUUGAGUUGCAGCCCUCCGCCUUCCCCACUGACCACUCCCAUAUAGCAUUUGUGUUAUCCCAGCUGACAGGGAGAGCAGAGGCCUGGGCACCAGCUGAAUGGAGCUGCGGUUCUGAAACCUGCCGCUCCUGGACCUCCUUUGUGUGUGCAAUGACGCAGGUGUUCCAAUACAUUCCUUCCGUGCUGCAGAAGCUAUUACGGCACGAUCUGUAUGGGAAGGUAGAGAAGUGCGAAUUCCACUAACCUUCCGUUUCGUUCCAGGGUUUUAUCCUGGCGGAGGGGGAAAUCCGUACGGAUCCCGGCUAGGGUGAGGUCGUCCUUCAGUGGCCCAGUCCCACGAAUCGCAAAGAGGUUCAGAGAUUCAUUGCAUUUGCCAGCUUUUAUCGUAAGUUUAUUCUGAAUUAUAGCUCCAUAGCUGCCCCUUUGUAUGCACUCACCUCUCCCCGCAGUGCCUUCUACUGGUAUCCGGCCUGCCAGGCGGCUUUCAGCAAGCUCAAGGCUGGCUUCACGUGAGCCCUCGUCCUCAUCCUAGCUGACCCUUAUAGGCAGUUUAUCGUCGAGGUGGAUGCAUCAGAUUCCGGAACAGGGCCGGUCAUCUCUCAGAAGAGUCCUGGGGAUGGGAGACAACACCCCUGCGCUUUCCUCUCCAAGAUCCUGACUCCGGCUGAACGGAACUAUGAUAUCGGAGACCGGGAGUUGCUCGCCAUGAAGACGGCCAUGGCGGAGUGGAGACAUUGGUUGGAGGGGACUGCAGUCCCUUUCCUAGUCCUGACAGACCAUAAAAACCUUGAAUAUCUAAAAACCGCCAAGAGGCUGAACGCCCAGCAAGCUGGGUGGUCCUUCUUUUUCACUAGGUUCCACUUCACUAUGUCCUAACGGCUGGGGUCCAAAAAUAGGAAACCUGAUGCGCUGUCGCGCAUAUACGAGGGGGAGAGGUGCAAACCCAAUCAUGCCCUGAUUCUUCUGGACACCUGCUUCGUGUUGACCUUCACUUGGGAAAUUGAGGCCCAAGUGAAAGAAGCACUUAAAGACUCCUCCAGUCCAGCAGGUUGCCCUCCCAACGGACUGUAUGUUGUGCCUCCUCUGAGGGGGAAGGUGAUUGAAUGGGCCCACACAAUCCACACCGUGUGUCACCCGGGCAUUGCCAAGACGCGGUCGGUGGUUGAACAGUGCUUUUGGUUGCAUAACAUAAAAAAAGACGUACGACAAUAUGUCAAUGCGUGCCGAGGUUGCACUGCCAACAAACCCUCCCGGCUUCAUCCGCUUCCUCGAUGUCCAUGGUCCCACAUCUCCCUAGAUUUCAUGACCGGUCUUCCACCUUCACAAGGUCAAACCACCGUGCUUUCAAUAGUGGAUCGCGUUUCAAAAAUUGUUCACUUCAUCCCGCUGCCUAAAAUCAACAAAAAAAAACCUAAAUUUAAGGCAGUUCCUCCUGGUGAAGGUUGGUGUCCUAACACAACCUUUUCAAAAGUCACAGCCAAAGUUCUAUCAAACAAGUUGUUCUAUACAAAUUCUAUAGAAUUCUAUAGGUUUCUAUAGAAUUUCUCUAGAAUUUUUUUUUUUUAGCAGGGGGAGAUCUCCUUUCCAAUGCAUGCUUCCAUCUUUUUAAUUGUUCCUUCACCAGCUCCCUGCUUUCACUGCAGAUAACAAUGUCAUCUGCGAACAUUAUGGUCCAAGGGGAUUCCAGUCUAACCUCAGCUGUCAGCCUAUUCAUUACCGCAGCACUGAAGAAGGGCCUCAGAGCUGAUCUCAGAAGCAGUUCCACCUCUGCCUUAAAAUUCUUCUGUCACACCUAUGGUUGCAAAGUGACAGGUUCUCUGGAACAAGACGAGCAGAUCCACCGCAGCUGCAGAGAUCAUUGAGGAACAUUGCACACUCCAGCUCCUGAGGCCUGGUGAAACAAGGCCUUGACGACUACAUUAAAGCUCACCUGAAGGAGCAGACUAGUGCAGCCAAAUCAAGCAACUCUCUGUCAUUGUCGGAGGAGGACAUCUUCCCCAGUAGUCAAGUGGAAAGAUCAAUGGGACGGUAAACCCAAGCAACUACUUCCAUGGACAUCCUGAAAUGAUUUGCAUCUAUGUGCCACCUGUAUCUUCAGCUCAACACACCACUGCCUGCCUCACUCAGCUGCCUGUGAGAGGUUUUUCAGCACAGCGGGGAUGAUUUUUUUAGACCCAAGAGGGCUAAGAUUACUCUCUGAGAAUUUGGAAAACAUGCUUCUCUUGAAGCUCAACUAAAUGGUGUGUUAGAUUUAUCUAAAUUUUAGACUUGCAUAAGAAGGAUGGAGUAAUAGUUUUAAAAAAGUUGUUACUGUUCAAAGCAGCACAAGAACCCUGGCUUAAUGUCUGCAUUUGUGUCUUUUAUUUCUCAUUUAAUUUAUUUAGCAGCAUCACAAUUACUUGAGUAGCUUUCCCCACUUUCCAUUAUUUUCCUAUUUU